rnacentral:rRNA from 1 species
UCUAACUCCGUGCCAUCGGGCGUGGGUAUGCGGGUGGUGCAAGCGUUAUCCUGAGUGAUUGGGUUUAAAGGGUCCUUAGGCGGACUUAUAAGUCAGUUGUGAAAGCCGGUCGCUUAACGAUAGAACUGCCAUUGAUACUGUAAGUCGUGAGUAUAGUUGAGGUAGCUGGAAUAAGUAGUGUAGCGGUGAAAUGCAUAGAUAUUACUUAGAACACCAAUUGCGAAGGCAGGUUACCAAGAUAUAACUGACGCUGAGGGACGAAAGCGUGGGGAGCGAACAGGAUUAGAUACCCCUGUAGUC